GAUGUCCGCCGCAUGCGCCGCGGAUCGAUACGCGAAGACCUACAGGUUGCAUCUAGCGCGUGAACCGGUUUCCGCAAGGACUCAGAACAGUCUGAUGCUGUGCAGCUCGUUCGUAGAUGUGGUUAAGUCCGCACGAGGCACCCUCGCCUUUAGUUCCAUCAUUAAGUUGGCACUCUAGAGGACCGCCGCGACAACCGGAGAAGUGGGAUGACGUCAAGUCCUCAUGGCCUACACCAUGGGCUACACACGUGCUACAAUGCGGUGACAGUGAGCAGCUAGUUCGCGAGAACGUGCUAAUCUCUAAAAACCGUCCCAGUUCGGAUAAGAGGCUGAAACUCGCCUCUUUGAAGCCGGAAUCGCUAGUAAUCGCAGGUCAGCAAACUGCGGUGAAUACGUCACUGAUCUUGUACACACCGCCCGUCAAGCCAUGAAAGUGACCAACACCCGAAGUCCGAUUCGUCGGCCUAAGGUGGGGGGCAUGAUUGGGGUU
rnacentral:rRNA from 1 species